rnacentral:ncRNA from 1 species
UACCUGGUUGAUCCUGCCAGUAGUCAUAUGCUUGUCUCAAAGAUUAAGCCAUGCAAGUCUAAGUACGAGCUCCCGUACAGUGAAACUGCGAAUGGCUCAUUAAAUCAGUUAUGGUUCAUUUGAUCGUACAGUUUACUUGGAUAACUGUGGUAAUUCUAGAGCUAAUACAUGCGAGAAGCGCCGACCUCGCGGGAGGCGUGCAUUUAUCAGACCAAAAACCGGCCGCGUCUUCGGGCGCGUUCGCCUUGGUGACUCUGGAUAACUUUGCGGAUCGCACGGUCUAGCACCGGCGACGGAUCAUUCAAGUGUCUGCCCUAUCAACUUUCGUCGGUACGGUAUUUGCCUACCGAGGUUCUUACGGGUGACGGGGAAUCAGGGUUCGAUUCCGGAGAGGGAGCCUGAGAAACGGCUACCACAUCCAAGAAA